AACGAACGCUGGCGGCAGGCCUAACACAUGCAAGUCGAGCGAAGCCUUCGGGCUUAGCGGCGGACGGGUGAGUAACGCGUGGGAACGUGCCCUUUGGUACGGAAUAGCACCGGGAAACUGGGAGUAAUACCGUAUGUGGUCGAGAGACGAAAGAUUUAUCGCCAAAGGAUCGGCCCGCGUUGGAUUAGGUAGUUGGUGGGGUAAUGGCCUACCAAGCCGACGAUCCAUAGCUGGUUUGAGAGGCUGAUCAGCCACACUGGGACUGAGACACGGCCCAGACUCCUACGGGAGGCAGCAGUGGGGAAUCUUAGACAAUUGGAGAAACCCUUAUCUAGCCAUGCCGCGUGAUCGAUGAAGGCCUUAGGGUUGUAAAGAUCUUUCAGUGGGGAAGAUAAUGACUGUACCCACAGAAGAAGCCCCGACUAACUCCGUGCCAGCAGCCGCCGUAACAC
rnacentral:rRNA from 1 species